ensembl:lncRNA
GGGUGUCNNNNNNNNNNNNNNNNNNNNNGGCCUUUGCAACUGACAUUUCAGGGUGCUAGGCAACCGUCUGUCUUCCGUCCAGUGAGGGGCACCUCUUCUGGCCAUGUCUUGCUCUGCUCUGCCCCUGCAAAGCAACGUGAACCAGGAGCCUGUCAGCCAUCAGACUGUGGCUUGGGGACAGAGAGGGUGGUGUUGGUGACCAGUUCCUGCUGGGCUCCACAUUUCUGCCUGCAAGCUUGUACACUACCUUUCUCUGGAUGUCUGUCCAGCUUUCACUGUCUCCGUUUUCCUGGGAAGAGCAAAUGGUGGCCCCUGUUAGGGACCCCUCUUUCCAGAGGGCUGCUUUCCUGGUCUAUUUCAUCAGCCAUUGAGGAGGAAAACCAGGAACAUUUGUUCAUGCUCAGCUGGGACACAGCAAAGGGAGGGGGCCCUUUGGAAGCCAGCACUUUGGUCCCCCAGAGCAGAUGAUGGGUUGAUGGGUAUUUUCACAAUCUGAUGCUGUUAAGUAACCCACCAGCCCGGGCUCCUCCUGCUGCACGGGCUGCCACCUUGGACCCGCAUCAGCGCUCUGCCCUGGGUGGUUGGGGGAUAGAGUGUGCAGAUAAUGAAACGCUGAUUAAGAAGAGAGGGAGAGAGACAUGAGCCCCAGUGUUUGCAGCUGGCAAAGCAGAUCUUUCAUCUCGGCACUUGUUAUCUUAAGGUCCAGCCCUUGCCCCUUGUUGGUACCCAAGACUACUGGUUUAAUUAGUAAUUAAACCACUUGGAGAUGAGCAAAAUCACGUGCACUAGUCGUAUGCGUGUGUGUACUUACUGAUUGGCAACAGGAUGCAGUGGAAAGGGCACUGGACCAGCUGAAUCAGAAGUAAGGAGACCUGUGGUCUAGCCCCAAUUCUGUUACAGCUGGAGCUGUGGGACCUUGAAUGAGUCACUACCCCUCUCUGAGCCUCAGUUUCCCCAUCUUUCUAGAUGCAGCAUGGUGAGGUAGUUAGGCUGCUUAGGUUUGAAUGUCAGCUUUCUUCUACUUAUUAGCUGUGUGACCUGAGGCCAUUCAACCUCUGGUGCCUCAGUUUCCUGAUCUGUAAAAUGGGACUAAUAAUACUCCCUCAGAUUGUUGUGAAAUGUCAACAGGAUAAAACAUGUGAAACAGCACGGUGCCAGGCAGGUAGUAAAUGCUCAACAAACCUCCAGUAUCAUCACCGUCAUUAUUAUUACUUCUGCUAUUACUGUUAUUGUGAAAUGGGGGGCGGGGAUCAACGUUGAUCCUUUCCAGCUCUUAUAUUUUGGGGCAUGGUAUACGUGUGUGUGUGUGUGUGUCUGCUUUUGAGAUAGAAGACUAGGGUGAAUAUUUUUGUUGCUUGUUUUCUUUUCCUUCCUUUCCCUGCCUCACUGGAGGGACUCCUGAGUUAAAAUCUUGUGCAUGUUCUCAUGAUAGCCCCAUCCUUGUGGCAGGAAGCCCAAUGUGACGUCACUGAAAAUAUCCUUCUUUCUGGCACUUGAGGGAUGAUAUUUCAUCAGCUAGUAGAUGCCCAUCCUUUGUCUCCCACCCUUAACCAUAGUACGAAGACCAUAUGUGCAGAUAAUGAGUUUAAGCUGAUAAACAACUCCCAGAUUCACCCAAAUAAAAGGCCAUCCUCCUAGAAGACACUUUCGACUUUAAAAUAAAUAAUCUGGCUCCUUAGCUGCAUUGCACUAUGUCUGGCUGGCCCUNNNNNNNNNNNNAGCGUUCUGCCCCUCGGUCUGUUGCAGGGACGUGGGCCGGGCCAGACCCGUGGUCUGGGCUAUGUCAGCCAUCCUGGCGGGGCAGCCUCUAGCGGCACUGCGGCCUCAUCUCCCUCCAGCAGAGGCUGUUCUCUGAGCCAUUCCAGCGAUGAUCAGAUGGCAGAUGUUUGGGGAGUGCUUACCGUCGGCCAGGACCUGGACAAUGCUUCAUCUCACCGCCAACCCUGAAAGCUGGUCCAGAUAUUGCACCCAUUUCACAGAUUAGAAUGUAGGGCUCAGAAAAAGCAAGUCAGUAAGUUGUUGGGGGGGGGCUGGAAUUAGAUCCUAGGUCGAUCUGUUUCUCCCUUUUGUGCUUGAAACCAUUCUGUGAUGUUUCUCUCCCAUCAAAACCACCUGUGGAGCCCCAAAGCCCAGGAAAGAUUUCCCUGAGAUAUAAUCAGGCCCCUUUCUCCCUGCUUUUGCUCAUCUUCCAGGCUCAGAGUGCUUUAUGAGAUGCUCUUUUUUCACCCUGUGUUGAUUACUCAGCCAUCCUGGGGACGCUGAGAGGUAGGAGUUUUUUGGGACAAGGUUGCUUAUAGGAAGGGGAUGAUCUCAUUCAGCCGCAGAAAGCUGUAGCUGACAGAGGAUGCGUGUUGGAGUCACCGACGUGAACUUGCUUCUUCUGCCUGCCGUUUACGGGCUAUGUGGCCUUGGUUUCCACUACCAAGUGAAGUAACACCAGCAACCACAGCAGAUGACUCCAAACUCUCAGUGGCGUAACCCGUGGGAGCAAUUCUC